rnacentral:tRNA from 1 species
UUGUGUGUAGCUCAAUGGCGAGAGCGUUGGAAUAGCAUUCCGAAGGUCUUGGUUUCAAAUCCAAUAGAGAAA